CCCACCUCAGUCACCGAGUACCUGGAUUAAGGGGAAAGGAGGGGGUUUGAUUGCCGCGUCCCCGGCUGGCAUAACGCGAGCCCCGCGGUAGGAGUAAUAGUGUUGGCCGUGGGCAGCAACCCGUGGAUAGCUGAUAAGAACGUCUAGAGGAUGGGGACCUAAAGACCCCCACUGGCUCUCUCUCUUCUGUCAGAGCGGCUUGGUAGGCCGCCAGAGUGGACCGCUCGAGCGUAAUGAAGACCUGUAAGUGGUCCGCUCUGGAGCCUGCAGGGUCCAUGUCCUUCGCCCUUAGUUGGAGACUGUGGGUGCUUGGUGUGGUCCUGUGGGUGGCCCGCCAUGAAGCUCCGAUACUCAACCCUUUAGCCCUGUCCGUUGAUACUUGUGGGCCUCGCAGGCACCACUCGAACGAAUCGGAUGCACAGGGAGUGCCUAGGGGAUGGACCAGCAUUGAACUGGGCAUCAACGGCAUCGGCUAGACACAGGACAGCACCGGCGGAAGAUACUAACGCCUCGCCUCCUGUGGCUCUGUGAAAGCAGACACUGAUCAACGCAGUGGUUAGGAAAGCUGUGCGGCGCCGACGCGACGGAGCCAAAUACGAA
rnacentral:misc_RNA from 1 species